UACGUAGGGGGCUAGCGUUGUCCGGAAUCAUUGGGCGUAAAGAGCUCGUAGGCGGCUCGGUAAGUGAGGUGUGAAAACUCCAGGCUCAACCUGGAGACGCCACCUCAUACUGCUGUGGCUAGAGUCCGGUAGGGGAGCAUGGAAUUCCUGGUGUAGCGGUGAGAUGCGCAGAUAUCAGGAGGAACACCAGUGGCGAAGGCGGUGCUCUGGGCCGGAACUGACGCUGAGGAGCGAAAGCGUGGGGAGCAAACAGG
rnacentral:rRNA from 1 species